UACGAAGGGGGCUAGCGUUGCUCGGAAUCACUGGGCGUAAAGCGCACGUAGGCGGAUCUUUAAGUCAGGGGUGAAAUCCCAAGGCUCAACCUUGGAACUGCCUUUGAUACUGGGGAUCUCGAGUCCGGAAGAGGCGAGUGGAAUUCCUGGUGUAGCGGUGAAAUGCGCAGAUAUCAGGAGGAACACCGAUGGCGAAGGCAGCUCGCUGGGACGGUACUGACGCUGAGGCGCGAAAGCGUGGGGAGCAAACAGG
rnacentral:rRNA from 1 species